GUUGUGUCAUAAUGAUGGUGGAAUUGAGGAGGAGGAGGAGGAGAAAGGGGAUGUCAUUUCACAAAUGAUUCAGCUACAGUCAUACUUCUCUUCCUACUUAUUUCACUGAGUAUCUGACAAUCAAGAAAGGUGCAAUUAUCUAAAGUAAAGAAACUGCUAUAUUAACAGAAAUAGUCUUUUACCACAGAGAUUAAACAUGGAAUUUCAAGGGCUCAUUCAUCAACACGUUGCUUACAUGUUACAGUUUCAGAACUCAGCAGAGCUGCCUGAAGAACUGGGGAUUCUUCCACAUCCAUUGGACACUGGAGAAACUUACGCAGGUUCUGCAUUUAUGGCCGUCAUAAAGAACUUCAGUAUGAAGAAGAAACACCCCUGCAAGUAACUUGUAAGCACCGCAGCAGUGAUCUGAAUGUAUCAGGGUAAUGCGGCCGUCAGAAAUCACUCAGAUCAAUGGUGAGAGUGCAGUCAGGCUCUUUGUGUGUACUUAGCAAAUAUAAUUAUUUUAAACCUCAGCGUGCUUCCAUGU
ensembl:lncRNA